GGGGAUCGAAAGACCUUAUGCUUUUGGAGCGGCCGAUGUCUGAUUAGCUAGUUGGUAGGGUAAUGGCUUACCAAGGCGACGAUCAGUAGUUGGUCUGAGAGGACGGCCAGCCACACUGGGACUGAGACACGGCCCAGACUCCUACGGGAGGCAGCAGUGGGGAAUUUUGGACAAUGGGCGCAAGCCUGAUCCAGCAAUGCCGCGUGAGUGAAGAAGGCCUUCGGGUUGUAAAGCUCUUUCAGUUGAGAAGAAAAAGUCGUGACUAAUAAUCAUGGCUCAUGACGGUAUCAACAGAAGAAGCACCGGCUAACUACGUGCCAGCAGCCGCGGUAAUACGUAGGGUGCAAGCGUUAAUCGGAAUUACUGGGCGUAAAGGGUGCGCAGGCGGUUCUGUAAGUCAGAUGUGAAAUCCCCGGGCUUAACCUGGGAACUGCGUUUGAAA
rnacentral:rRNA from 1 species